GAAGCCAGGCCAAGAAGAAUCCCAGGACUGGAAGGCCUUGUGGGACGUCCCAGGUUUGUCUUGUGUCAAUAGCACUGAUACUCAAUCUCCUACUCCCAUCUGUGAGCAUGCAGACCCUACUUGCCUUCCCACAGCCUCCCUUUUCAUAUUUUUCAUGUUUCUUUAGCUCUGUCUUCAAGCCUUGUUGCUCCCGCAAAAAAACCUGCCUCUUCCUCCAGUCCUCCCAAGCAGGGGGAACAGUCCUGACACCUUUCCAAGCCCUGGUCCAUGGACAUUGUGCCCCCUUCUCCCUGCCCAUGGUGACCUGCUCCAAAACCCUCAAGGAGAAGGGAGUGUAUGUCAUUUCCUCCCUGUAAAGUAAAGAUAAUUUUGCAGGGGACUGUGUGGAUGAAAUGACAUGAUGCAUGGAAAUCCCUUAGCGUGUGCCUGGCAUGUAAACUGCAGGUGUCAUCAUUAUUACUGAGGAAUACUGAGUCCCGAACAUGGCUGUCUCAUUGGUGGACUGGGGUCUCCCCCAGGGCAUUCAUCUACUAUGUGUUUAUUGCACCCUUUUUCCAUGUGAGGCACAUGCCAGGGACUGGGCACAUGGUAUGAACAAGACACAGGUCAUCGGUGUCCUCUUGAGCUCCCUGGCUUGGCAGCAGAUGCAUACCUGGGAAGGAUGCUAGGUCAUCCGGGAACUCUACCUCCUUCAAAUCCCUAAGGACUGUGCUCCCAAUCCGCUUACGCUCAAGGAAGAACUGGUCAGCCCUAGGUGCAGCUGCAACCUGAGGGACUUGUCCUGGGAUCAGACAUUUUGAGGACUUUCUUGACCCUUGGCUGAUAUCCUUGCAGGCAGGACCUGCAGCUAAGCAAGACGUAGGACUGCAAGCUGGGUUGGCACCCUCCCCCUAGGGAGUUCUCCAGGCCUUGCCCCCUCUGUCCCCAGCCUGGAAGCCCUCCCUGGUACCAUACCCCAGCCGAUGAGAAGGCCCAGAACCAGCCUGCUGUCAGGAUCAGAACAAAAGAGGAGGACUGCAUAUGUAUGGACCCACUCCAGAUGGCACGGGGACGGGGGGAGUAGGAAAAGUGGCAUGAUGAGGAAAUGGAGGCACAGACUGAUUAGAAAACCAGCUCAAGGUCAUGUUGCUGCUCUCUCAUUCCUGUUGAGGGCUCUCUGGUGGAGCCUCUGUCUCACAGGUCACCUGCAGGCCAACACUCCCAGAAGCAGCUAGCACCAUGGUUGACCUCGUCCAGGUCCAGGGAAGGCCUCCCUCUCCAGGACUCCUUUAGAUUUCCCCAGCAUCCAGACCUCACCUGCCUAAGUGCUGUUGCCCUGGAAGCCACAGUGAGCACGAGCUCCAUCUUGCACCUUUACCAGCCAAUGGGGGUAAAGACAUUAGCUGCUCGCUGGACAGUCCCGUCAGACACAGACAUGAAACUCCUGCGAGAAGACCAAGCCCUGGAUAAUAUCACCACUCAUCCUGUGGCACUUCAUUACAUUCCGGCUGGGGAUAUUUGAAUAUUAGAUAUUAAGCAAUUCCUGUCAAUUUUGUUAGGUGUGUAAUGACAGUAUCAUAGUUAUAUAGAAGAGUGUCCUUUGGUUUUAGAGAUGCAUUCUGAAAUGAUUUGGGGUAAAAGGUCAGGAGGUUUAUAAUUUACUUUAAAAUACUUCAGCCCAAAAGCAAAUGAAGCAUAUAUUAAUUGUUAGAUGUUAACAAUUGUC
rnacentral:lncRNA from 1 species